rnacentral:misc_RNA from 1 species
CCACUUAUAAUGGUAACCAGCCUCAAAUAUCCUCUACAGGUUGUGCCCUCCCUGGAGGGUACAAUCCUCGGCACAGAGAGCCAUCUUACUGUAAUGCAUACCGUGCAAGCUGGUGGGAGCUCAUGGUACUUGCUUCUCAUGCGCACCCAUCUGUUGCUACCAUGGCUAGGACUCUUCUAUCUGGGGCCAAUAUAGUUUAUAAUGGUAAUCCAUUAAAUGAUCUAUCUCUUAGUGC